GGGGGCAUAGCUCAGCUGGGAGAGCGCGACAAUCGCACUGUCGAGGUCGGGGGUUCGAGUCCCCCUGCCUCCACCA
rnacentral:tRNA from 1 species